AUGACUGAAGAUUGGGAGCUGCUUUACCCUCAGUACCAGCUCUCCCCGAGAUCUUCUUGUGUCUCGGACCACUGCCCUCUAAUGCUGCGCAAGAUGGGAGUCCAAUGCUUCAAGGGGUUCCGGUUUGAAUCCUACUGGUUAAAGAUGGAGGGGUUUCAUGAGGUAGUCCAAAAGGCCUGGGAGAAAGAGGUCAGAUCGGCCGAUGCUUUAAGAGUUCUGCACACUAAAUUAUCUAGAACAGCUGCUGCUCUAAAACGAUGGAACACAGCUGCUAGAAAGCACAGGAGGCUCAAGGAGGAUAUUGCAAACGAGGUCAUCUUUCAACUGGAUCUGGCACAAGAGGAUAGAAUUCUGUCCGAGGAAGAGAGAGCCUUGAGAAACCAUUUAAAAGCUCGAUUACUUGGACUUGCAGUAAUCCAGCGUUGUAAAUGGAGACAAAGGUCGCGACUAACCUGGAUUAAGGCAGGAGAUGAAAACACUAGACUUUUUCACCUAAGAGCAAAUCGCAGGCUCCGGAAAAAUCACAUCCCAGCGCUCCGACAGGGAACGGAGCUAAAAACUGAGCAUGCUGAUAAGGAGGAAAUUUUGCUAAAUCACUUCAGAGGUCUGUUGGGGCAACGAGGAGAUAGGCAAUGGAGACUCAACCUGGACUUCUUAGACAUGCCUUCCUUUGAGCUGACUCAUCUAGAGGCGCCAGUCACCAUGGAGGAAUUAAAAGAUGUUAUCUGGUCCAUGCACGGGGAAAAGGCCCCGGGACCUGACGGGUUCAUUGGCAACUUCUUCAAGCACUGUUGGGAUUGUAUCAAGUUGGAAUUAUUCUCUGCUGUACGACAAUUUUUUGAUCUGAAGGGGUCCCCAGGCCACCUGCUGAACACUGCAUACUUGGUUUUAAUCCCAAAGAAAGAGGCAGUUUCUGAUGCAAGGGACUAUAGGCCGAUCAGCUUGAUACAUAGUUUUGCAAAGAUUGUUUGCAAGCUUUUAGCAACUAGGCUGGCUCUUGAGCUCAAUAAUAUCAUUUCCCCGUGCCAGAGUGCUUUUAUAAGAAAAAGAUGUAUCCAUGACAAUUUCUUAUUUGUUCGGAAUGUGGUUAAGGAUGCACACUCAAGUAAAUCUCCUCUGCUAUUCCUCAAGCUAGAUAUCGCAAAAGCUUUUGACUCGGUGCGAUGGGAUUAUCUGAUUGAGGUACUCAGAGCCUUUGGCUUUGGUCAGAAAUGGAGGGACCUCAUCUCUUUGAUCUUGGCUUCGUCUUCGUCUCAAUUCCUUCUCAACGGUUUGCCUGGGAGACCAUUCAUGCAUUUGAAAGGACUCAGACAAGGGGAUCCGCUAGCCCCAAUGCUUUUUAUCCUGGCCCUUGACCCCUUGCAGAGGAUUUUUCAAAGGGCGACUGAUCUGGGCAUUCUUUCCCCCCUUUCAAACAGUGCUGCCAGGAUGAGAGCUAGUUUUUAUGCGGACGACGCGGCUCUUUUCCUCAACCCUGAUUGUGAUGAAAUGGUCGCAGUCCAGGCCAUUCUAGAAAGGUUUGGUGAGAUCUCUGGACUGUGUGCAAACCUUCAGAAAUGUGUUGUGUACCCGAUCCGUUGCGAGUUGCUAGACUUAUCACAAAUUCUAUUGCCUUUUGGAGGCUCGACGGGCACCUUGUCGUGCAAAUACCUGGGAUUACCUCUGAGUUUUAGUAAGCCGAAGAGGGUGGAUGAGCAGGUGCUGAUUGAUCGCAUCGCAAGCAAGCUGUCGCCCUGGAAAGGAAAGCAAAUGACAAAGAUAGCAAGAUUAGUUCUCACAAACUCGGUCCUGAUGGCCAUUGUGACAUACUUCCUCACCAGCUUGACACUAAGCUCCUGGGCAAUUAAGAAAAUUGAUAAGAUCAGAAGGGAUUUUUUCUGGACUGCAGAAGAAGAAGCUAGUGGAGGCAAAUGCAUGGUUAACUGGAGACGGAUUUGCUCACCAAAAGAGUUUGGGGGGCUCGGCAUAAAAAAUCUGGAAUGCUUUGGUCGGGCUCUACGCCUACAGUGGCUCUGGUUCAAAUGGGAUGAUAAUGACAUGCCUUGGAAGGGGUAUGCAACACCUUGUGCAGGUUCAGACUUUGCUCUGUUUGAUGCCUGCACCAAAAUCUCUGUUGGCGAUGGUGCAAAAACUUUGUUCUGGAAAGAUAACUGGUUAAAUGGAUCGGCACCGGCCAAGAUGGCUCCAACCAUCUUUAAAAGGUCAAGAUGCAAAUCAAUUUCCAUCAAGGAGGGGUUCCAAGAAGGAAGAUGGAUGAGGGGCCUGUCUAGACUGAAUUCUGAAGAAGAACUACAGCAGUUCCUCUCUCUAUGGGAGGUCGUUCAAAAUGUGCAACUUUCUUCUACGGCGGAUUCCAUCUCCUGGCGCUUGACUGCUAACGGCGAGUACUCGGCAAGUUCUGGAGCCAGCUCUGAACAAAGUGUGGAAGAUGAAAACUGA
rnacentral:rRNA from 1 species